GACGUAGGGCGCGAGCGUUGUCCGGAUUUAUUGGGCGUAAAGAGCUCGUAGGCGGCUUGUCGCGUCGUCCGUGAAAACCUGCAGCUUAACUGUGGGCGUGCGGUCGAUACGGGCAUCACUGGAGUUCGGCAGGGGAGACUGGAAUUCCUGGUGUAGCGGUGAAAUACGUAGAGAUUGGGAAGAACACCAGUGGCGAAGGCGGCUAUCUGGACGGUUUCUGACACUAAGACUCGAAAGCGUGGGGAGCAAACAGG
rnacentral:rRNA from 1 species